ACUGCAGUUCAAAAUCCUUUUUUCCACUUGCAAUUUAAUAAACUGCAGUUCAAAAUCCAUUUCCCUUUCCUGUUCGCUCUGGGAUUAGCUGCUGGAUUAGCUGCUGGAUUAGCUCUUCGAUUAACAACUUGCUGGAGGCUAUUCAAAUUAGCCACACCGUGGGAUGUAAGGAGCUCUCUGAUUGGUUGGUUGGACACAGGCUGUCUGCCAGCCUGGAUUUUUCUAGCUCAAAGCUUCUCCCUGCUACGAAGCGUGUGUGCUUGUACAAAGGCCGUUCAGCGUCGGGAUUUACACUCGGCUCGACACGGAUAUGUGAAGAAUGAAGGGACCCUGCAGCGAAACGGAGAGCCAACCAUAGUCUGGUUGUUUAUAUUUUCACAUGUUUUUGUGUCUGUAGGGCUGUUUGAUGACGAUUUGGACUCCUAUGGGAGAUGAGGACACACCCACAUCUGUUCCAUACUGCAGCCAUUGAUGGUGUUACAGCUCUGAGUCAGAUUUGGGCCAUCAGACGCACACACUGGAAAACCAGCACCUGGACUUCAUGCAGGAGAGACGGCCUCAGUGAUGGACUCUGCAUCCUCUACUUUACCUCUAAUCUUUCUUCUUUAACACACAAUUAAAAUCACUCCAAAAGAGUGUAAACUUACUGAGGAAGUCUCUAACUUGUACACAUUUGUACUUUUACUUGUUUUAUGAGUUAUUUUUAAGAAGAGUAAAGUUAUUCACAUAAAGUUGUUAUUCUUCUGUAUUUAUUCUUUUGUAUCAUGUACCACAGUCAUACUGAACUUUACAGACCUGGUGAAUUGGAGAAAACAAAGAUCACACACACAUACAUACACACACAUAUCAUUCAGCUUCAGCAGUAUUUCUAUUCAUCUUAUGAAUUUCCAGUCUAAUGUCAAUUCACUGAGUUCAGUUUUGGUCUUAAACUCCAGAGAAUACCACCUGGUUCAACAAUCUUUUUAUCUGAUUAUUGGCAAAAUGUUUUCUUCUGAAAGAAGAAAACAUUUUGGGCUCAAUUUCAGCCUCAGGCAAAAUUGAGCCCAAAGAAACAACAACAAAGUUUAGUUCCUCUGGAUUUUCCAUGGAAAAUUGUUUUAUCACUCAUCCAGGUGACUUCUCCAGUGUCACGGAUGAGUGAUGAAUGUAUCUCCCACUGGAAACCAUUGUGUCCAGUUAAAGUCAAUCGACUUUUUUUAAGGAGAGUUGUUAGAUGCUGUGCUCAUGAGGACAAUGGGUUUUAACUUGCAGCACAACACAAAGCUGCCAUACUGGAUCAACGAUCAAAACACUUAAUUGAGCAGAAUUAAGGCAAAAUGUAAUAUCCUCAUAUGAUGACACAUCACACAUGAUCCAGCAUUGUUCUAAGAAUGCAAACUUUCUUAAUGGAAGUUUCCACAGCUGCCAGAAAGGGACAGAUUUCUGGCUGGUCUUAAUGAGUGGUCGUUGCUCUCUCGUUUUCUCUGGAAUUGCUGCACAGAGGAUGUAACACCCAUGAUAAGCACUGAGGUUUGUGUCCUUGUCAGAAAUCAGCAAUACUCAGCUUCCAGGUAAGGAAAAGUGGAACCAGAAGAUAUUCAAAUGCAUCUCUCCACAGCUGCUGAUGAAUUCUACAAAAAACAAAGUUUGUUAAAAACAUUUGCAGGUGAAUCACCACUGAUUUAUCAGCGACAUCCAUUUACUCAAAAAAUACUGACAAGUGGAUAACUAGGAUAUAUAAUAUCUAUAUAGAUAUAAUUUCAAAAAUGUCCUGUACAAAAUGGAACUGUAUAUGACAAAUGUGGUGUGGUGCUUGUGGAAUUUUUAACAAGGACCCUGCAAAACUUUACAGUACUCAUGCUGCCAAACUUUUGACAGCUAGGUGUGCAGUAGGGCUGGGUAUCGUCACUGAUUUCUAGAAUCGAUUCAUUUCCGAUUCACAAGGUCCCGAAUCGAUUCGAUCCACGAUUCGAUUCAAUUCGAUUUGAAUCUGGGAAAUUUUGACAGUCAGAAAUAUUAUAAUUCAGAUUUCAUUGACAUAUUUUUGUAUCUAUAAAAAGGAAGCUGACACACGCAAGACUUUAUCAAAGGUGU
rnacentral:lncRNA from 1 species